GGACGCAAGGCAGAGGCAGGACGGGCUGCUGGGCCUCUCCACCAAGGAGCCGUGGAUCGCACCCUCCCUCGCGGGUGGGAGACCCCAGACAGCACGAAGAGGCUCAGCGAGUCUGAGCCUUCUCAUCUGCGAAAGGGUCCCUCAUUCUGUGAAGCUGAAAGGGUCGAUGUUUUGCAGACUGUAAGCUGCUGGUUUUUAGGAGCUCAGAGAGCAGUGGGAGAGUAGAUCCCAUCAGGCUACGGGACGACCAAGGACAGUGGCUGUCACACUUCUCUUUUGUGACCACAAAUUACAGUAACAAAUACCAUGUGACCCUGAGAGCCUAUCCUAGUCCCACCCACAGUGGAAACUCCGUCAGGAACGGCUCCUCCCCUUCCCCAUCUCCCUGUCCCCCUCCCCUGUCACUGCCCCGGUGCUUCCCCGAAGAGCUUUUGUGUCCUUUUGUGUAAUCUUGUCUCCGGGCCUGCUUCUGGAGGAUCCCAAAGCAACACGGACACCUCUUCUGUGCAGGGCCUUCCGGAUGUGAUUUGAAUCACCACGAGGACCCUGCCCCAUAGCCUCUGAGAUCAUGGUCCUCAGCCUGAAGGCCUGUCAGACCACCCAGAUAAAAGGACAUCAAAUCUGAGUGUGGGGUGGACUACAGGAGCAGAGAUGGGGUCGAGGACACCAGGCCUGACUAGACGUUUCCAUCCCUGCGUGUGGUCCCGCUGCCUCUUUGUCUGCUUCAGAAUCCAGGAGUAUCCAGUGUCUGGAAAGGUUCCCUUAAGUGGAAGUGACUAGACAGGACGCAGAGUGAGCCUAACUGACUGGAGGGCACUGCAUCCUUCAAGUGGAGGUCCUGACUGGCUGUGACCUGCGCCACGUCUCCCGGCCAUCUCACUGCACCACAAAGUGGUUACCGGGAGCAAGAGAAUCUUAGUGAGAGGCAAGCAUCAACAGCCAGGACUGGAUUCAAAGCCUGACUCCACCACUCAGUGGCUGUGUGACUUUGGGCAGGUCACUUAACCUCUCUGAGAUCUCAUUUCCUCCUCUGAAGAAUGGCAGAAAUGGCUGCCCGAAUUAAACAUGAUAAGGCUUGUAAA